rnacentral:rRNA from 1 species
AGGAUUAGAUACCCUGGUAGUCCACGCCGUAAACGAUGUCGACUUGGAGGUUGUGCCCUUGAGGCGUGGCUUCCGGAGCUAACGCGUUAAGUCGACCGCCUGGGGAGUACGGCCGCAAGGUUAAAACUCAAAUGAAUUGACGGGGGCCCGCACAAGCGGUGGAGCAUGUGGUUUAAUUCGAUGCAACGCGAAGAACCUUACCUGGUCUUGACAUCCACGGAAGUUUUCAGAGAUGAGAAUGUGCCUUCGGGAACCGUGAGACAGGUGCUGCAUGGCUGUCGUCAGCUCGUGUUGUGAAAUGUUGGGUUAAGUCCCGCAACGAGCGCAACCCUUAUCCUUUGUUGCCAGCGGUCCGGCCGGGAACUCAAAGGAGACUGCCAGUGAUAAACUGGAGGAAGGUGGGGAUGACGUCAAGUCAUCAUGGCCCUUACGACCAGGGCUACACACGUGCUACAAUGGCGCAUACAAAGAGAAGCGACCUCGCGAGAGCAAGCGGACCUCAUAAAGUGCGUCGUAGUCCGGAUUGGAGUCUGCAACUCGACUCCAUGAAGUCGGAAUCGCUAGUAAUCGUGGAUCAGAAUGCCACGGUGAAUACGUUCCCGGGCCUUGUACACACCGCCCGUCACACCAUGGGAGUGGGUUGCAAAAGAAGUAGGUAGCUUAACCUUCGGGAGGGCGCUUACCACUUUGUGAUUCAUGACUGGGGUGAAGUCGUAACAAGGUAACCA